CCAUUCUCACUCCAAAGGCGUCAAAAACCGAAGCAUGGUCAAGCGCCCCUAGCGUCACUUUUAUGACGCCAAAUGUGCCUCUCGGCGUCGACUAUCGAAGCACUACGACCUUCAUUGCUUUCAGUGGGAAACUUUUGGCGUCAGAAUUCGACACGAGGACAUGAGAUGUUUAUCGCUAUGAAAUCACGUUCAAGAAGUCUCAUUCAGCAUACAUCGCGCGAUACUUGCUAUCAGUUCCACAGUUUGGCUGAAAAGACGUAAAGGCAGUCAGCCCAGUGGUGUUUCUGGAGAGGGAUUCCUUCAGAAAUGGAGAAGACAGAAAGCUGCGGAGGCAGAUAUUUGCAGCAUGUUCGAGUGAGCAUGAUGACCACGAGUGUGUGUCGAACUUUUCAUGACCUGAUGACUGUGUUUCCCAAUCCUGAUCCUGGAGAACCCCAGCACUGCACGGUUUUGGCAUCUCUCUUAUCUGCCUUGGAGUCUUCACUGAUGAGCUGAUGAGUUGAAUCAGGUGUGUUUGAUCAGGGAGACAUCUCAAAUGUGCAGUGUUGGGGUUCUCCAGGACCAGGAUUGGGAGCCACUGCCUUAUGGGACACUUAUGUGUUUAAAGAGAUUUUUAAUAUCUAAUUAUCAAUAUUUCACAUACUGUACAUUGGACAGCUUUCCAUGACCUCUUGUGAGAUCUCGGCAAAAAGUCUGACGAUUUAUUCCAAAACAUGAUGCAUGAUGGGAUACACUAAGCUUUGUAUAGCGCUCCAGAGCAGUAUUGGAGAGGUUUAGUGUGUGUUAAGGACGCUGUGCUUUGGCAUUAUUAAG